CCUGCACUAUUUGACGUUACCUACAGAAGAAGCACCGGCUAACUCCGUGCCAGCAGCCGCGGUAAUACGGAGGGUGCGAGCGUUAAUCGGAAUUACUGGGCGUAAAGCGCAUGCAGGCGGACCUGUUAAGUCAGAUGUGAAAGCCCGGGGCGUUAACCUCGGAAAUUGCAUUUGAAACUGGCAGGCUAGAGUCUUGUAGAGGGGGGUAGGAAUUUCAGGUGUAGCGGUGAAAUGCGUAGAGAUCUGAAGGAAUACCAGUGGCGAAGGCGGCCCCCUGGACAAAGACUGACGCUCAGAUGCGAAAGCGUGGGGAGCAAACAGGAUUAGAUACCCUGGUAG
rnacentral:rRNA from 1 species